rnacentral:tRNA from 1 species
GCCUGGGUGGCUCCAUGGUUGAGCGUCUGCCUUCGGCUCAGGCCAUGAUCCCAGGGACGUGGGAUCAAGUCCCACACCGGGCU